CCUAGGACAGGCAUCUGCACGGAUGCCCUCUGCUUCAACAGGGAAUUGCAAGCUCCCGCCUGCCUGUAAUAAGGGGGAAAAUCAGGGCAAUAAUGUGACCGGAUGCUGGAAAGCUGGCAGCCAGAGAAAACAGCUCUGGACAACCCCCGGCCCUCACUUGAAUUGUGGUGGUUACAGCAGAACACAGCCCAGUUGUAACUCAAGUCUUUCCUUUUGUAAGAGGAAGUGGUGAGAUAAAUAAAGGGAUGGUGUUUCCUUAAAGCAGCUGCAUCUCCUAUUAACUGGCUAAAGAACUAACUCCUCAACAAAAAUUAGUCAACUGAACUAGUUUAAGAAAGAAAAGAAAUCUUUGAGCUGGCGAAUUUGUGGC
rnacentral:lncRNA from 1 species